UACGUAGGGGGCGAGCGUUGUCCGGAUUCAUUGGGCGUAAAGAGCUCGUAGGCGGCUUGGCAAGUCGGGUGUGAAAACUUCAGGCUCAACCUGGAGCGGCCACUCGAUACUGCCAUGGCUUGAGUCCGGUAGGGGACCACGGAAUUCCUGGUGUAGCGGUGAAAUGCGCAGAUAUCAGGAGGAACACCGGUGGCGAAGGCGGGUCUCUGGGCAACAACUGACGCUGAGGAGCGAAAGCGUGGGGAGCGAACAGG
rnacentral:rRNA from 1 species